rnacentral:rRNA from 1 species
GUGCCAGCAGCUGCGGUAAUACGGAGGGUGCAAGCGUUAAUCGGAAUUACUGGGCGUAAAGCGCACGCAGGCGGUCUGUUAAGUCAGAUGUGAAAUCCCCGGGCUCAACCUGGGAACUGCAUCUGAUACUGGCAGGCUUGAGUCUCGUAGAGGGGGGUAGAAUUCCAGGUGUAGCGGUGAAAUGCGUAGAGAUUUGGAGGAAUACCGGUGGCGAAGGCGGCCCCCUGGACGAAGACUGACGCUCAGGUGCGAAAGCGUGGGGAGCAAACAGGAUUAGAUACCCUGGUAGUCCACGCUGUAAACGAUGUCGACCUGGAGGUUGUGCCCUUGAGGCGUGGCUUCCGGAGCUAACGCGUUAAGUCGACCGCCUGGGGAGUACGGCCGCAAGGUUAAAACUCAAAUGAAUUGACGGGGGCCCGCACAAGCGGUGGAGCAUGUGGUUUAAUUCGAUGCAACGCGAAGAACCUUACCUGGUCUUGACAUCCACAGAAGUUUUCAGAGAUGAGAACGUGCCUUCGGGAACU